rnacentral:lncRNA from 10 species
GCUACACAUCUUAUGGAAUGACUCACGAGUUCUCCUUCACUGAUUAAUCCUUUUCCUCAUCCCUUCCUCCCCCUCCCAUCUGCCCUAAGAACAAAGAGCUUGUAAACCAGUAAAUUUGGCAGAGCUCAAGAGCUCUGGGCCGUGAGCAAGCCUCCGAUAUUCUGGUCCCCUGAACCCGCCUUUUAAAUGCUUAUUCUGUCUCUUUCUAACUCCUAUGUCUCCACCAGACUCAGGGUACCCACUGGGUGGUGUGGGGCUGGUUUCCCUAACAUUCCCCACCAAAUAAAGCAGCUCCAACCUUCUAGAUGGUUGCUCAGCUCAGAAGUCUUAGAGAAAUUCUGAUGCCUCUCCUCACAUUUGCUCUGUCGGCAAAUCCUGGUGUCACAAGAGGGCUCAGGAGGGUUUCUGGAUGCCAACGAGACCCCAGCCACAGCCGGUCCCCAGAUUCUUGACAUCAUCACAAGAAAGAAUUCACAGAUCGCUUAGCUCCAUCCAACAUGGAAAGGGAUCAGACACGGGCAUCAUUGCCAGAUGAUAAUCCCUGAUGGUCAUCUUGGAUGCUGGCCACCACAGUUACAUUUGAGGUUCUACUUGAAUCAUAGUUUCUUUGCUCCUGGGAGACCCCUGCUAUUCCCAGUGAUGCUGCGAACUGGGGUUCAAAGUGGGGUGGCCUGGUGAGGCCUAAAAUCCAUGUCCCGUGGAGAACUGCCUGCAUCCCUUACAGAACCUGCCACAUAUUUCUGCAGCUUCCAAGAGGAAGGCUGGAAUUUACUGAGCUUACUGAAGCCAAUUAUCCCAAGAGUAUGUGAUCCAGAAGCAAGAUAAAGAUCAAAAGGACUCAGCUGGGAUUUGGCCUUCUCCAAGUGGAAGGAAUAAAAUCUGCAAUUGGCUCUGAAAAUAAAAACCAAACAAAAUCUCAGGCAAUCAUAGACAUGGCUCUUUGCUAUUUAUGAGCUUUUCUUUCUUUCUUUUUUUUUUUAAUUUAAACAAAUGUUAAAAGAUUUUUGUGUGGACCUCAGAUUCCAGCUUUACACUGAAACUCAACAUUAGUGUCGAAGCACUUGCAGGCCAUAUGUGCUCCAGCGAGGGUUUGGGAAUGUUGGGUGGUGUUGGUGGGCACCCAUAAUUGCCACUUGCUAUCACGUGAAUGCCUUAGGCAUGACG